AGUGAACGCUGGCGGUAGGCCUAACACAUGCCAGUCGAACGGCAGCACAGUAAGAGCUUGCUCUUACGGGUGGCGAGUGGCGGACGGGUGAGGAAUACAUCGGAAUCUACUUUUUCGUGGGGGAUAACGUAGGGAAACUUACCCUAAUACCGCAUACGACCUACGGGUGAAAGCAGGGGAUCUUCGGACCUUGCGCGAUUGAAUGAGCCGAUGUCGGAUUAGCUAGUUGGCGGGGUAAAGGCCCACCAAGGCGACGAUCCGUAGCUGGUCUGAGAGGAUGAUCAGCCACACUGGAACUGAGACACGGUCCAGACUCCUACGGGAGGCAGCAGUGGGGAAUAUUGGACAAUGGGCGAAAGCCUGAUCCAGCCAUACCGCGUGGGUGAAGAAGGCCUUCGGGUUGUAAAGCCCUUUUGUUGGGAAAGAAAAGCAGCAGGUUAAUACCCCGCUGUUCUGACGGUACCCAAAGAAUAAGCACCGGCUAACUUCGUG
rnacentral:rRNA from 1 species